rnacentral:misc_RNA from 1 species
GAUGAAGAACGUAGCGAAAUGCGAUAAGUAAUGUGAAUUGCAGAAUUCAGUGAAUCAUCGAAUCUUUGAACGCACCUUGCGCCCUUUGGCUAUUCCGAAGGGCGUGCCUGUUUGAGUAUCGUGAACACCUCAACUCUCAUGGUUUGCCAUGAUGAGCUUGGACUUUGGGGGUUUUGCUGGCCUUUGGUCGGCUCCUCUCAAACGGGUCAGCUUUCCAGUGUUUGGUGGCGUCACGGGUGUGAUAACUAUCUACGCCUGUGGUUUUCUGCCAGAUAACCUUCAGCGAUGGAGGUUCGCUGGGGCUCAUAAAUGUCUCUCUUCAGUGGAGACAGCUUUUUGGACGUUUGAUCUCAAAUCAGGUAGGACUACCCGCUGAACUUAAGCAUAUCAAUAAGCGGAGGA